rnacentral:rRNA from 1 species
GUGCCAGCCGCCGCGGUAAUUCAUAGGUGGCGAGCGUUGUCCGGAAUUAUUGGGCGUAAAGGGAGCGCAGGCGGGCGUAUAAGUCCAUCUUAAAAGUGCGGGGCUCAACCCCGUGAGGGGAUGGAAACUGUAUGUCUUGAGUGCAGGAGAGGAAAGCGGAAUUCCCAGUGUAGCGGUGAAAUGCGUAGAUAUUGGGAGGAACACCAGUGGCGAAGGCGGCUUUCUGGACUGUAACUGACGCUGAGGCUCGAAAGCCAGGGGAGCGAACGGGAUUAGAUACCCCGGUAGUCCUGGCCGUAAACGAUGAGUGCUAGGUGUAGGAGGUAUCGACCCCUCCUGUGCCGGAGUUAACGCAAUAAGCAUUCCGCCUGGGGAGUACGGUCGCAAGACUGAAACUCAAAGGAAUUGACGGGGGCCCGCACAAGCGGUGGAGUAUGUGGUUUAAUUCGACGCAACGCGAAGAACCUUACCAGGGCUUGACAUUGAGUGAAAGAGCUAGAGAUAGCUUCCUCCCUUCGGGGACAC